GGUAGGGCAAAAACCCUCCCAGGAGGGAGGAAGUUGUUGUUAGGAGCCAGACCUUAGGAGGUAAGGCAGCACCCAGGCUGCUGGGUGGUUGCCAUUCUGUGUAUGUUCUCACACUGGGGCAGGGCUGAAAGCCUUACAGAGAACUGUGGAGAAGUAGCCUUGGCCCCCAUUCUUGGUGGUUGGGGACCCCAGCUGGGCUUCCUGGAGCAGACACCAGCAGCCACUCCUCUGGACUACUGGCAAUUCCAUGGUUGCUCACGAAGAAGGAGGACCCCUGUGCUUGGAACCAGUCUGGCCUUCCUGGACGCAGUGCCCCAGUAAAGAGAGAAGCAAGAGAGUGACAUUUCCUACAGGUCUUCUGUCAAUUUUGGGUUGUUUUUCCAUUGUUGAUAUCUCAGAGGGACUCUCCAGAAAAAAGCCCAGCCAGCUUCUCCAAGGACUCACCCUAUGUUGGGAGUAGAUUUCUGCAUAUGCCUUUGAUUUCACAGAUGAGCUUCACAGCCAUUGAAUAAGCUGCCCGAAUCACAAGACCAAGGGCUGUUGUUUCCUAAAUUGGAGGGAGGCCCUGCCCUCACCUGCUCUUCCCUAGCAGGCCUUCACCCUCUCACCUGACCCUCCAGGAUCCUAGAGGCCUUUCCUGAGAUUCCAGAGCCCUUGUCCCUCACCACACCCUGAUCCUGGCAGCUGUAGCAAACUGCUCAUGUUCUUUGUCAGAGGUCCAUGGUGAGAUUGUUUUGUUUCCUUUUGUUUUGUUUGUGAGUGUGUUUAAAAUCAAAAUUAGAUAUUUUCUUCUGCUGGACAGUAUUAAAUAGAGCAGGAUGUUAAGUUAAUUUGCCAGAUUGCAGUACUAAU
rnacentral:lncRNA from 1 species